ensembl:lincRNA Gm43832 predicted gene 43832
GGUUCUGUGUAUGUAGGCCUAUGGGAAGUCUUUGAACCUUUAGUUCAAAUUUGCAAACAAACAAAAAAAAAACAAGACACCCUAAAAAGUCAAAAGCAGAAGAAAGAAGGAGGAAGAAGAGGAAUAAGGAAGCGCAAGGGGAGAAAGGAUCAGAAUGAAGCCUACUCGAUAGACGCAGAGAACUAUGAGUCCUCCAGUGGAAGAAUAGAAGUAAAACACAGCUGGACAGCUCUGUGCUGAAGGCUGGCCUACGCCAUCUCACUUAACCCUUACCUCCAUGUCCCUGCGCUGUUACAUCCCAGCCAUCACUGUCAUCGUCCUCAUACAAAUGAGGGAAGCAGAGCCAGCAGCUUGUUCUCUGGGAGCUAUGGGGUGUGGAGUUUCAGACAUUCCAGCCCAUCCAGGUGGACCGUGAUGAUUUAACUUCAAAGCAAGAGUGUAGUUGGUGCCCACUGCACUAAGCAGAUAUGGUGGAUCUGAACCAUUGCCUUCCCUCAGCAUGCAGACUGACCCGGAAAGAAUCUUUAUUCAUUAGGCUCAAAGGGUGCUGUGGCCUUGGAGGAAGCAUGUCUCUCUCUUUUCCUCCUGCCUGCCGAUCUGGAUGUAGAAUUCUCAGUUCCUUCUCCAGCACCAUGUCUGCCUGUGAUGAUAAUGAACUAAACCUGAACUGUAAGC